CCUAUGGGGCGCAGCAGGGGGGAAAACUCCGCAAUGCACGAAAGUGUGACGGGGGAACUCUAAGUGCCAGCACACUGUGUUGGCUUUUCAUUAGUCCAAAUCGCUAGUGGAAUAAGUGGGGGGUAAGACCGUUGCCAGCCGCCGCGGUAA
rnacentral:rRNA from 1 species